rnacentral:rRNA from 1 species
AGCGCACUCACUUACUGCUACUCACUGCUUAGACACAGCUGAGACAGUACAUAAAAAAUUAUAUCUCGGUAAAGGGGAGGCAAGUCGUAACAUGGUAAGUGUAC